UGGCUUAGUUGGUAGAGCAUUGUGUUUGGAACGCCAGGGUUGUGGGUUUGAUUCCCAC
rfam:Salmo salar isolate Sally breed double haploid chromosome ssa29, whole genome shotgun sequence.